GGGUGACGUGUCGGAUAUUGGGCGUAAAGGGCUCGCAGGCGGUUUCUUAAGUCUGAUGUGAAAGCCCCCGGCUCAACCGGGGAGGGUCAUUGGAAACUGGGAAACUUGAGUGCAGAAGAGGAGAGUGGAAUUCCACGUGUAGCGGUGAAAUGCGUAGAGAUGUGGAGGAACACCAGUGGCGAAGGCGACUCUCUGGUCUGUAACUGACGCUGAGGAGCGAAAGCGUGGGGAGCGAACAGGAUUAGAUACCCUGGUAGUCCACGCCGUAAACGAUGAGUGCUAAGUGUUAGGGGGUUUCCGCCCCUUAGUGCUGCAGCUAACGCAUUAAGCACUCCGCCUGGGGAGUACGGUCGCAAGACUGAAACUCAAAGGAAUUGACGGGGGCCCGCACAAGCGGUGGAGCAUGUGGUUUAAUUCGAAGCAACGCGAAGAACCUUACCAGGUCUUGACAUCCUCUGACAACCCUAGAGAUAGGGCUUUCCCUUCGGGGACAGAGUGACAGGUGGUGCAUGGUUGUCGUCAGCUCGUGUCGUGAGAUGUUGGGUUAAGUCCCGCAACGAGCGCAACCCUUGAUCUUAGUUGCCAGCAUUUAGUUGGGCACUCUAAGGUGACUGCCGGUGACAAACCGGAGGAAGGUGGGGAUGACGUCAAAUCAUCAUGCCCCUUAUGACCUGGGCUACACACGUGCUACAAUGGACAGAACAAAGGGCUGCGAGACCGCAAGGUUUAGCCAAUCCCAUAAAUCUGUUCUCAGUUCGGAUCGCAGUCUGCAACUCGACUGCGUGAAGCUGGAAUCGCUAGUAAUCGCGGAUCACAUGCGCGGGGGGAAAAUCCUUUCCCGGGGCCUUGUACACACCGCCCGUCACACCACGAGAGUUUGCAACACCCGAAGUCGGUGAGGUAACCUUUAUGGAGCCAGCCGCCGAAGGUGGGGCAGAUGAUUGGGUGAUCAGAAAGAGGGCCCCCAACAAUACAUAUAAAGAGCAAACUUAACACCGGGUUUUUU
rnacentral:rRNA from 1 species